AUGACCUCAAAGUACUGAGAGGAGUGGUGUGGGAGGGGAAACAGAAAAUGAAAUGAGAUAGAUCCUAAAAAAAUGCCCUGAAGGUGUCUGCUUGUUAAAAACAGAACACAUCCCCAGAUCCUGUUUUUAGGUGUGGACUUCAGCACCCAGUCUGUGAGCAACAUUGAUGAACAGAUUUCCAAAGACUGUUCCAAGGUUUAUGUGAUUCCUUUAAUUAUGGCUUGAAGUAGAGGCAAAUGCAUUCCAAGAAACCAACAAUUACCUGCAACAUGUUAUUACAGUGAGACUUAUGGAGAUCUGCAGCUUUUGUGAAACUCCAUGAGACAUAACAGGAGAAAAAACUGGUGAACCCAACAAGGUUGCAAUACAGAAGUCUCAAAAUACUAGAGUCGUCUUCCAGU